AUUAAACGCUGGCGGCAUGCCUUACACAUGCAAGUCGAACGGCAGCACGGGGGCAACCCUGGUGGCGAGUGGCGGACGGGUGAGUAAUACAUCGGAACGUGCCCUGGAGUGGGGGAUAACGCAGCGAAAGCUACGCUAAUACCGCAUAUUCUGUGAGCAGGAAAGCAGGGGAUCGCAAGACCUUGCGCUUUGGGAGCGGCCGAUGUCGGAUUAGCUAGUUGGUGGGGUAAAGGCCUACCAAGGCGACGAUCCGUAGCGGGUCUGAGAGGAUGAUCCGCCACACUGGGACUGAGACACGGCCCAGACUCCUACGGGAGGCAGCAGUGGGGAAUUUUGGACAAUGGGCGGAAGCCUGAUCCAGCCAUGCCGCGUGAGUGAAGAAGGCCUU
rnacentral:rRNA from 1 species